UACAGAGGGGGCAAGCGUUGUCCGGAUUUAUUGGGCGUAAAGAGCGUGUAGGCGGUCAGAUAGGUCCGUUGUGAAAACUCGAGGCUCAACCUCGAGACGCCGAUGGAAACCGUCUGGCUAGAGUCCGGAAGAGGAGAGUGGAAUUCCUGGUGUAGCGGUGAAAUGCGCAGAUAUCAGGAAGAACACCCGUGGCUAAGGCGGCUCUCUAGUACGGUACUGACGCUGAGACGCGAAAGCGUGGGGAGCGAACAGG
rnacentral:rRNA from 1 species